AGCUCAGUUAUGGGUGAUGUGAUGACACAGCACUCAGAAGCUCUCUAACACAGAUACUACUUUCUGCCUUGGCAAUAUUCCACAUUUUUGGGAAACACUUCCCCCGUGAGAAGAGCACAUGCCACACGUGUAUGAAAAUUCAUCUGCCAACUAAUUAAAAUAAAAUAGACAUUCAUAGUUAUGAAAUGUCUAACUUGGGGCCUGGGGAGCUGGUGCCCUGGCUGUUUCCACUUGCUCAGCGUGUGCAAGCAAUGGUCUGAUUUCCGUCAUUAAAAAGUAAGUUGGCAUUUUCUAGAAGUUUCUUCAAAUGUAGUCAUGAGAGACUUAUUUAUAUCACUAAGCUUUUUCUGAGACAAGUUAUUUUGAGAUACACACGUGUCCACUCCUUUCUACGACUGUGAAGAACUCCAUUGUAUGAGCUAUGCUUCCACUUGCUUGUCCAUUCUCCCAUGGAUGGACAUUUACUGCAGCUAAAACAGGUAAAUAUGCUUGAGUGCCUGCCUGUCACAGCCAUGCUUUCGUCUGUUUGAGUAAAUGGCCUGGGUUAUGGUGGCUGAGCCAGAACUGCAAGCUUAGCACUUCAGGAGAGGGUCAAACUAACUUCCAACGCUAUUGCUUUAUUUUCUAUUUCCACAUCUUUAAGACUUCUGUUUUGCUUCAUGUUUGUUACCACAGCUCAGAGUGAGCUCCCACUUUAGUACGGUGUCAAGUCUCCUGAUCAUUUGCACUUACAAUCUUUGUUGUUAUUGUUGGCGUUUGUUCUCCUAUUGUUGCGUUUCACAUAACUUCUGUAUUCUGUAUACAUGUCCUUUAUCAUAGUUCUGCAUUGUGCAUGUUCUAUCUCAGUCUGAGGCUUGUCCUCUCGGUAAUGGGUGGUGUCUUUUGAAAGGCAGAGUUCUUAAUGUUAAUGUAGUCAACUGUAUCACCAAUUGAUUUUAUGGAUCGUGCUUUCGGUAUCCUAUAUUUGAUCCCACUAUACUAGGAUUUUCUGCUGCCUGCGUUUUCUUCUAGAUGUUUGACAAUCGUCAGAUCUAUGAUUUCACUUGAACUGUUGCCUGAGGUUAAGAUCUAUGAUCUGUUUUGGCAUGAGGUAUGGGUUGAUGUUUAUUUAAUGCACAAGCACGUGCAAGUACCAUUGAAAAGUACAGAAUUUACUCUACUUAGUUCUGGGUAGCUUCUCUGGCUAAAUCUUGAAGGACUCACUCACAUGCCAUUUCUCAUUACCUUUCUCAGUCUUCCCUCAGAAGCUCCUGAGAAAUACUGAUGAAGGCAGAUGGUGGUGCCCUACAACGGUGUCAACCGACUUGAAAGGGGAAUAAGCCACCGCCACUUGAGAGCAGAUGCAAAACACGACUUUCCAGCAUCCUCUCAUACAAGAAACACAGAGCUAAAAUACUGAAGGACUGGAAACCAAACCUUUGGGCAAAAUUUCAGUGCCCUGCAGUCAUUUGACAGUGUAGAAGGGUGGGGACAGUUUUGCUUCCUGUCUGCCACAAAUGACUGGCAAGGAAUCCACUCAGUGACACAAAGAAAUGCCCUUUAUCUCUGAGGAUGGAAGGAAGGAGAGGAAGAAAGAUCUUCCCAACGCAAGAUGCCCCACGGGUAUCAUUCAAGAUCUGGAAGCCAUGAAAGAGAAGAGCAGGCGUGGUGUGGGGCCAGGAACAGAGGUAGCCUCUGUGAAGAGAGGACUGGACCAGAUAUGCUGAGAGCCUCACCUCCUCUUAUGCACCCUCACCCUGGACAAUGAGCUGAGGAAGACAGGGCCCCUCUGUGGUGCAGACUAUCUAGCCAGCAUCCCAUGGUUGGCUGAUGCUUAUGUUGUAACUGGCUCAAACUCUAUGACAAAAUUUUACAGUUUUGUUACACACUAAGUUUGGUUACAGUUUGUUAUGCGGGAACUCAGAGUUCAGGGGCCACUUCGGGCCAAAUUCAAGUUAACAGAAUACAAAAGAGAUGGACUUAUAAAAGCAAGCCUGUACCCUAGUUUUCUAACCAUCAGGUCAAAGCUCCUCCAACAUACCUAAUGCUCUGCCUGUAGCCUCCUUGGCCAAAGACUGGGAAGUUUACGUAGUGCUCAGAUCUAUAGUUGGGGAAAGGGCAGGAAAGCGAGGCUCUGGAUUUAUGCCACCAGGGAGAUUACCCAUCACUGGUGUAAGGGAUGAAAAGAGACUCUGCACUAUGGAGAUCCUAACCUUCUCACUGUGACAACCUGGCACACGCACAGUUCUGGCUUACCCACAGUUCUAGCUCUAAUAACCUCUGAUUUGUCACCUAGCUUAGGCCUCAAUGUAGUUUCCAGUAAUCUGGGGUUCUCAUUCAGCACACACUCACUUCCGCCACCACCCCUGCCUACUUCUAAGUGCUCAAUCCCAUCUGGCUACGCUGCAGAUGCUACUGAUCUAAAAUAUGACAUGGCACCCAUGAGAGGAGCUAGCCAGCACCUCCAAACCUAAGUGUGGGUCAGAGGACUAGCACCUGGGGUACAAAAUCAAGCCUGUGUAGACAGACACAAACUAUGUUUUCUGUGUUACCGAGUGAAUGAGAGAGGAGAAUGGGAGGGGGGCUGUAGCUCAGUGGUAGAGCACGUGGUUAGCAGGUAUGAAGUCCUAGGUUCAAUCCCCAGCACUGCAGAGAGUGGGCGCUCGGGAGGAAGAGACAAGAGAGUCAGAAGUUCAAGGUUAUCCUGACCGCAUGAUGGACUUGACAUCAAGGAAAAGAUGGCAAAGUCUAGCCCAGUGCCUACAUCCACAGCCUGGGGGCAGAUGAAGGCACCUGCUUCAGUCUCUGCAGGCCCUCCCCUCUGCAAGUUCUCACUCAAGAGUUCUUCUCAUGCUGGAGAGAUGGCUCAGCAGUUAAAAGCACUCACUGCUCUUCCAAAAGUCCUGAGUUCAAAUCCCAGCAACCACGUAGUAGCUCACAACCAUCUGUAAUGAAACCUGAUGCCUUCUUCUGGUAUGUCUGA
rnacentral:lncRNA from 1 species